UACGAAGGGGGCUAGCGUUGCUCGGAAUUACUGGGCGUAAAGCGCACGUAGGCGGCUUUCUAAGUCGGGGGUGAAAUCCUGGAGCUCAACUCCAGAACUGCCUUCGAUACUGGAGAGCUCGAGUCCGGGGAGAGGUGAGUGGAACUGGCGAGUGUAGAGGUGAAAUUCGUAGAUAUUCGCAAGAACACCAGUGGCGAAGGCGGCUCACUGGCCCGGUACUGACGCUGAGGUGCGAAAGCGUGGGGAGCAAACAGGG
rnacentral:rRNA from 1 species